GACGAACGCUGGCGGCGUGCUUAACACAUGCAAGUCGAACGAAGUGGCGAACGGGUGAGUAAUACGUGAGUAACCUGCCCUCCUUUUUGGGAUAAGCCUUGGAAACGGGGUCUAAUACCGGAUAAAGGGGGAUGGGCUCGCGGCCUAUCAGCUUGUUGGUGGGGUGAUGGCCUACCAAGGCGGUGACGGGUAGCCGGCCUGAGAGGGUGGUCGGCCACAUUGGGACGGCGAUACGGCCCAGACUCCUACGGGAGGCAGCAGUGGGGGAUGUUGCACAAUGGGGGCAAGCCGGAGGCAGCGACGCCGCGUGAGGGAUGAAGGCUUUCGGGUUGUAAACCUCUUUCGGUACAGAACGGGUAUGUGCAGAAGAAGCGCCGGCUAACUACGUGCCAGCAGCCGCGGUAAUUC
rnacentral:rRNA from 1 species